UUGGAGGGCAAGUCUGGUGCCAGCAGCCGCGGUAAUUCCAGCUCCAAUAGCGUAUAUUAAAGUUGUUGCAGUUAAAAAGCUCGUAGUUGAAUUUCGGGGUCAGUAGGCUGGUCGUGCCACAGGUAUGUACUGGUCUUACUGAUUCCUCCCUCCUGAUGAACCGUAAUGCCAUUAAUUUGGUGUUGCGGGGAAUCUGGACUGUUACUUUGAAAAAAUUAGAGUGUUUAAAGCAGGCUAACGCUUGAAUACAUUAGCAUGGAAUAAUGAAAUAGGACGAUCGAUCCUAUUUUGUUGGUUUCUAGGAUUGACGUAAUGAUUAAUAGGGAUAGUUGGGGGCAUUAGUAUUCAAUUGUCAGAGGUGAAAUUCUUGGAUUUAUUGAAGACUAACUACUGCGAAAGCAUUUGCCAAGGAUGUUUUCAUUAAUCAAGAACGAAAGUUAGGGGAUCGAAGACGAUCAGAUACCGUCGUAGUCUUAACCAUAAACUAUGCCGACUAGGGAUCGGAUGAUGUUAAUUUUUUAAUGACUCAUUCGGCGCCUUACGGGAAA
rnacentral:rRNA from 1 species